UAUUAUUAGUUACCAAUAAUUUAAUUAUAGAAAAAUUAUUGAUAUGUACUUUGAUAUUUCUUAGAAAACUUAUUUAUUAAGUAGUUGAAAAAAAAGAAACAAAAUAAUAAGAAUUUGUCAAAUUAUAUUAUGUUUUUAAAAUAAAAUAAAAAGUAAAAAUAAAAUAAAAAAUAGAAUAGUAUAAAUAUUUUUUUAACAUUGUUAACGCCGUCAUCAAAACAAUAAAUCCUAAAUCCUAAACAUUAUACCCUAAAAACUAAACUUUAAAUUCUUGGAUAAAUCCUAAACCCUUGGGUAAAUCUUUAGGUAAACCUUAGAUCUUUGGGUAAACCCUAAAUCUUUGGGUAAACUCU
rnacentral:lncRNA from 1 species